rnacentral:rRNA from 1 species
UACGUAGGGUGCAAGCGUUGUCCGGAAUUAUUGGGCGUAAAGAGCUCGUAGGCGGUCUGUCGCGUCUGCUGUGAAAACUCAGGGCUUAACCCUGAGCUUGCAGUGGGUACGGGCAGACUAGAGUGCGGUAGGGGAGACUGGAAUUCCGUGGUGUAGCGGUGAAAUGCGCAGGAUAUCAGGAGGAACACCGGUGGCGAAGGCGGGUCUCUGGGCCUGUACUGACGCUGGAGGAGCGGAAAGCGUGGGGAGCAAACAGG